rnacentral:rRNA from 1 species
AUUGAACGCUUGCGGCAGGCCUAACACAUGAAAGUCGAGCGAGCGGCGGACGGGUGAGUCAUGUAUGGGGACUGCCCGAUAGAGGGGGCUAACUACUGGAAACGGUAGCUAAUACCGCAUACUAUCGGAUAACCUAUAUGGGAUUAUCUAGUAGGUGAGGUAAUGGCUCACCUAGGCGACGAUCCCUAGCUGGUCGGAGAGGAUGCUCAGCCAUGCUGGGACGGUGACUGGUCCCAGGCUCCUACGGAGGCAGCAGUGGGGAGUAUUGCACGUUGGGCUCAAGCCUGAUGCAGCGAUGCCGCGUGUAUGAAGAAGGCCCUGGGGUUUUAAAGUACUUUCAGUCGGGAGGCGUUACCGUCAGAAGAAGCACCGGCUAACUCGGUGCCAGCAGCCGCGGUAAUAC